ACGAAGGGGACUAGCGUUGUUCGGAAUUACUGGGCGUAAAGCGCGUGUAGGCGGGCUUGUAAGUUGGGGGUGAAAUCCCGAGGCUCAACCUCGGAACUGCCUCCAAAACUGCAAGCCUGGACUCAAGUAGAGGCAAGUGGAAUUGCGAGUGUAGAGGUGAAAUUCGUAGAUAUUCGCAGGAACACCAGUGGCGAAGGCGACUUGCUGGACUUGUAGUGACGCUGAGACGCGAAAGCGUGGGGAGCAAACAGGA
rnacentral:rRNA from 1 species